UAAACAGCACGUGAACAGGCAGCAGCAGAGCGCGUGGCAGUGCAUUGUUAUUGUUAUUAUUAUUAUUAUUAUUAUUAUUAUUAUUAUUAUUAUUAUUACACACUGCGGUGAGGGAAGAACAGUCAGUGGAUUUGGGAGAUGAAGAUUUAUGGAGUAUUUCUUCAGUUUUAACUCUCUGGACAUUUUCUUGGUUAAUUCGGCGACAUGAACUCCAGUGGAUUAUCAGACCAAGAGAUCACAGCUCUCUCUUCCGUGUAUGUCUCCUGUCUCAGUUUAAGCACCGCUUCCCCUGGACAGCGGUCCAGCUCUCCAUCUCCACAUCUCCAUCACCUCACACACAUCCUGUCACUGCAGUGUUACAGUGUUUAAUCGUAACCUCAACACCGCAGAGUGUUCUAUCAGUGUGCACUCACCUUGGAUUGCUUAAGAGCGUUCUGUAUUUGUCAGGUUUUACUUUUAUUGAUUUAAGAUAACACAGAUGCACAGACGCGUGACUCUUCCUCCACCACAUGAAGAUAAAAGCACAGCACGGGUUCAGAACCUGACAGAAUGUUCUGAAAGCUCGGAGUAUUCCUUACAUGUAUAUCUGAGCACAAGAUUCGGACUCUAUAACCACAAACACUGCCAGUAAAUUCCCCCCAAAUGUGUUUGUGUUUACAGCGCGUGCAGUACACAACAGAUACGCUCAGAUUUCUACUUAUAGAUAAUAAUAAUAUAAUACAGUAUAUUAUAUUAUGAUCCAUUUUAUCGUUGGGACACAAAUUCAACCUGAAAUUGAACAGCAAAAUAAUAAUUAUAAAUAUACUGUAUAUGUUUCUAAACUCAUAUUUAAU
ensembl:lncRNA